rnacentral:lncRNA from 1 species
GAACAGCCACCAUCAUCAUCAAUCACUCAGUAUAUCGCACCAAAUCAAAGUAGCUGAUUCAUUUAGCAGCAAUUUGUUUGGGAGAUUAUUCUUUCAUUUGCCGCUUUGACAUUCUUACAUCGUAAUUCAGUGGACUACAAAUCAAGAAUCCUUGUUUCAGGAAUUACAGCAACUCAUACAAGUUAGAAUGGCAGAAAACAUUGCAGUACGUAGUCUUUAAAGAAAUGAAACAGAAACACAAGUAGAAGUCUUAAACCAAAUCCAAGUACUAAGGGAAUCUAUGAAAUUGAAAUCGUUCAAACUAUAAUAAUUCAAAUGAAAGCAAGAACUUCAGCAGAAUUCUUUAGAGUCCACACCAACACAAACAAAGCAGCAAACCAUCUCUUCCAUCAGUAGAUCAUAUAAGUCAACUUAAACUUGUAUCAAUCUGAAACAAGUCAAAGAGCAAUGACUUUCGAAUUGGAAAUGAAGUUGCUGAAUGAUAAAAUGAAGAUUGAACUUUAUUUCAUACUUUUGUUUGCAUCGAGUUAUGCUGAAUCAGUCAUCGAAGGCAAAUGGUGAUUUCAUGAACAUAAGGGCUGGUCCUGAAUGGAAUGAAUUGCAAAUGAUGAAAGCAAUUAGAUUAGAAUUCAUAAUAUUAAGAGAUGAACUGAUGAAGUCUAGAAUUUAAGAGUUUAGUAUCUUACCCUCAACAACUGGACCCUCAACAGAGAAAUCUUCAAUCGUCAAUCCAGAGAACACUCCUCCACAUCCACUCUAGCUUCAACAUCUGCAAAUAGAAAAAUUCAAGUCAGCAAAAAUAAUGAACCAAGGUAUUAAAAAUUUGUAACCGACUAACUUUUUACUUGGUUGCAUGUCUUCCGUUAUCCAGCUCCUUGUGCACAUCAUUGUUUCGACUAUUGAGUAAUGAAUCCUGCUCCGAUGGGGUCUAACAACCCCCAAUCAGAACUAAAUGCACUCUCAGAUGCAACUGAAAGAAUAUGUAUUGCAAGGAAAUCUCUCACAAUUGCUUGCAAGGUGGGAUAUUUCAAACCAUUGAAUCUCCACCAUCGAAGAAGAUCCAGUGUUUGUUCAUCUAGUCUAGAUUUAGUAAUCAAAGGCUCAGACAAAUAGUGGUCCAAUUUAGUAUUAACCAAUGUUUCUUUGCUCAUUUUUCCCAUACUCACAAACCUCUCGAAAUCAAGGUCACUUCCAGUCACAUUUCCAGAACUACUAGAGGCAUAUGAAGAUGAUCCAGUUUGCUUUUUAGAUGUAGUUUGUUAAUCAAGAACCAAAGCACAAAUAAUGUUCUUCACAUUAUCACCCACUAAAUUAGUUUCCAUACUUCCAAACUUGGAUGUAUAGCACUCAAUAUAAGCAGCUUGUAUCUAGGAUCCAACACUACUAACACAUCAAGAACGAGAUGAAUGUCAUCCCGAUAUUUGGAAAAUUUCAACCACAUAUUACUAGCCAUAGCAGAAAUAAAAGGAUUACUAUCAGCACACCAUUGAAUCAUUUGUAAUCUUUGAUCACAAAUCCCUUUGAAAAAUAGUUUGGCAGUCAGAUAUUUAGAGACAGAGAAAAACUUAGUAAACUCAAUAAAAAUAGCCAAUUUGUCAAUCACAAUGGAAGCAAAUUCCCAGUGAACAUUAGAAGGAAAUGUAUUAUACUGAUUAUCCCUUUGCCUCAAACGGAAGAACACGUCUUUAUAAGGAAGAGCAACAAAAAGCAUAUCCUAGGUAGAAUUCCAUCUAGUUGGACAAUCGAGGACCAAUUUCUUGUCAGAAUCAAGUCGAAGUAGUUUAACAGUCUCAAAUAAAAUCUGAAUCCUUUUAGGAGUAAAAUUCCAGUACACUACAUUCUCCCUAAUCAAAUGGAUUCCAUCCUUAUUUAAAUCCAAGCCAUCCCUCACUAUCAGAUUUAAGAUAUGAGCAACACAUCUCAUGAAUGAAUCUACCUUCGAGCAACAUAUCACUAACCACAAGUUUGUUUUUGAGCUAAACCAUCAUAGAAUUAUUGGUGGAACAGUUGUCCAAGGUAAUUGAGGACAACUUGCCAUCAAUAUUCCAAUCUAAUAAUGAAUCAAACAAUCUUUCAGCCAGCCUCUCACUGGUGUGAGGGGCUAGUACAUACACGAACCUCAAUAUUAUACUUCUUCUUUUUCAAGCAUUGUCAAUGAAAUGACCAGUAAUUACCAUAUACCCCCUUUUCUAAUUAGAGACAGUCUAUAGAUCAGUAAUGACUGACACUCUACCAGAAUUACGAUCAACUAUCCACUGAAACUUUUCCCUUUCGACAUCAUAAAAAGCCAAUAUAUCCCUCUUCAUAGUGUUUCUACAAGGGACAUUGAACUAACGUUGCAAGGCACAAUGAAACUGUUUGAACCCCUGAUGCUCAACGAUGCCAGACCUCAAAAGUAAGACUAACUCAGGUUUCAGGUUCAUCUUUAUUAUCAUUAACCACAACCACAUUACCAUUUGCAGCAGGAACAGGCUGUUCAGGUUGAUAAUUUUGGGCAGUCAUUUCAUUAGGGUUGGGAGCAUUAACAACAGGUUCUGGUUUAACAUUUGGUGCACCUUCCACAUGGAAAGAAAUAUUGAAGAGAUUAAGAAGAGAGUUCAGGACAGGCCUAUGGUUUUUAGGUUAUAGUGUUUGGUUUGAGAGUUGAAUUUAAGAACUGAUUAGUUCAGAUGAUUUGUUAAGAACAGAGAUGUAAAGAAGAGAUGGUUGGAGAGUUGUUAAGAAUAGAGGUCUAAGAACAUAGGCUUAAGAAUUGAGGUCUAAGAACAGAGGCUUAAGAAAAAGUCUAAAGAAUAGAGAUCUAAAGAAGAAAGGUCUGCAGAAGAGAGGUUUAACAUAAGGAGGGUUCAAGGUUAAAGAUUUGUUAAGACUUAAGACUUAAUAAUCAAGAAGGCAUAUAAGAUUGAUUCAAAGACGUUUAAGUGUGAUUCAUAGCUCACUAGUCUGAAGAAUAUCACAUUGACAACAUAAUCAAACAUCAAAUAAAGCAUGUAAGAUUGCACAACAACCUAGCAACUACUCCCACAACCAAUGUUUUUAGUGUUUUAGGUGAUAUAUAUUAUAUUCAAAGGGGUUAACAGUCAGAUUUAUAGAUUCUAGAAUAAGUCAACAUGUUAGCAGGGUAAAUUUACCUUCACUAUAAUGUUGACUAGAACUGUACAAGCCUUCUAUUUGCAAAUCGAGCAGUAAGCUCGCGGGCUACAC